CCACAACAGAGACGGGCUCAACGACUCCGUGGGUAUCUAUCUGGAGAGCCGACAAUGACAAUGAGGGAAAUGAAAAACCCACGCCAGUGACCCAAUCAACCGGAAAAACGCUUGCGCCAGCUCCGGGUAUACCUGUGCCG